UACAGAGGUGGCAAGCGUUGUUCGGAAUUACUGGGCGUAAAGGGCUCGUAGGUGGCCAACUAAGUCAUACGUGAAAUCCCUCGGCUUAACCGGGGAACUGCGUCUGAUACUGGAUGGCUUGAGGUUGGGAGAGGGAUGCGGAAUUCCAGGUGUAGCGGUGAAAUGCGUAGAUAUCAGGAAGAACACCCGUGGCGAAGGCGGCUCUCUGGGACGGUACUGACGCUGAGACGCGAAAGCGUGGGGAGCAAACAGG
rnacentral:rRNA from 1 species